GCGUUUUUGUAAAGAAAAAUAUCUGCCGAACAUCACUUCAAAGUGUCGCAUUCACCAGCUGUCGCGAAAUCAACUGUCCAAAAUCGAAAUUAUCCCAGAACCGACCAGCUUCGCGACGAUGCCGAUCCUGUUCAAGCUACGCUAGCAAAAAUACUAACGAAGUACGAGUCUCUUCGUUUCUGGCGUGACUGAACGUGACGGCGAUCUCCAGGAGCCAGGUGAAGUCUGACCAUAGGAUCGCAGCUUCCUCCUGGGCGUGCAGGGAGGUUUCGCGCCUUCAUCAGUGUCACCGUGAGC